GAUGAACGCUGGCGGCGUGCUUAACACAUGCAAGUCGAACGGGAAUUAUUUUAUUGAAACUUCGGUCGAUUUAAUUUAAUUCUAGUGGCGGACGGGUGAGUAACGCGUGGGUAACCUGCCUUAUACAGGGGGAUAACAGUCAGAAAUGGCUGCUAAUACCGCAUAAGCGCACAGAGCUGCAUGGCUCAGUGUGAAAAACUCCGGUGGUAUAAGAUGGACCCGCGUUGGAUUAGCUGGUUGGUGGGGUAACGGCCCACCAAGGCGACGAUCCAUAGCCGGCCUGAGAGGGUGAACGGCCACAUUGGGACUGAGACACGGCCCAGACUCCUACGGGAGGCAGCAGUGGGGAAUAUUGCACAAUGGGGGAAACCCUGAUGCAGCAACGCCGCGUGAAGGAAGAAGUAUCUCGGUAUGUAAACUUCUAUCAGCAGGGAAGAUAGUGACGGUACCUGACUAAGAAGCCCCGGCUAACUACGUG
rnacentral:rRNA from 1 species